rnacentral:rRNA from 1 species
UACAGAGGCCCCGAGCGUUGUUCGGAUUCAUUGGGCGUAAAGGGUGCGUAGGCGGCUGGGUAAGUUUGAUGUGAAAUCCUGGGGCUCAACCCUGGAACUGCAUUGAAUACUGCUCGGCUAGAGUACUGGAGAGGAAACUGGAAUUCACGGUGUAGCAGUGAAAUGCGUAGAUAUCGUGAGGAAGACCAGUGGCGAAGGCGAGUUUCUGGACAGUUACUGACGCUGAGGCACGAAGGCCAGGGGAGCAAACGGG